rnacentral:rRNA from 1 species
GAUGAACGCUGGCGGCGUGCCUAAUACAUGCAAGUCGAGCGAACAGACGAGGAGCUUGCUCCUCUGACGUUAGCGGCGGACGGGUGAGUAACACGUGGAUAACCUACCUAUAAGACUGGGAUAACUUCGGGAAACCGGAGCUAAUACCGGAUAAUAUAUUGAACCGCAUGGUUCAAUAGUGAAAGACGGUUUUGCUGUCACUUAUAGAUGGAUCAGCGCCGCAUUAGCUAGUUGGUAAGGUAACGGCUUACCAAGGCAACGAUGCGUAGCCGACCUGAGAGGGUGAUCGGCCACACUGGAACUGAGACACGGUCCAGACUCCUACGGGAGGCAGCAGUAGGGAAUCUUCCGCAAUGGGCGAAAGCCUGACGGAGCAACGCCGCGUGAGUGAUGAAGGUCUUCGGAUCGUAAAACUCUGUUAUUGGGGAAGAACAAAUGUGUAGGUAACUAUGCACGUCUUGACGGUACCUAAUCAGAAAGCCACGGCUAACUACGUG